rnacentral:rRNA from 1 species
UACGGAGGGAGCUAGCGUUGUUCGGAAUUACUGGGCGUAAAGCGCGCGUAGGCGGCUUUGUAAGUUAGAGGUGAAAGCCCGGGGCUCAACCCCGGAACUGCCUUUAAGACUGCAUCGCUUGAAUCCAGGAGAGGUGAGUGGAAUUCCGAGUGUAGAGGUGAAAAUUCGUAGAUAUUCGGAAGAACACCAGUGGCGAAGGCGGCUCACUGGACUGGUAUUGACGCUGAUGUGCGAAAGCGUGGGGAGCAAACAGG